AAUGGGCGAAAGCCUGAUCCAGCAAUGCCGCGUGAGUGAUGAAGGCCUUAGGGUUGUAAAGCUCUUUUACCAGGGAUGAUAAUGACAGUACCUGGAGAAUAAGCUCCGGCUAACUCCGUGCCAGCAGCCGCGGUAAUACGGAGGGAGCUAGCGUUGUUCGGAAUUACUGGGCGUAAAGCGCACGUAGGCGGCGAUCCAAGUCAGGGGUGGAAUCCCGGGGCUCAACCCCGGAACUGCCCUUGAAACUAGGUUGCUAGAAUACUGGAGAGGUGAGUGGAAUUCCGAGUGUAGAGGUGAAAUUCGUAGAUAUUCGGAAGAACACCAGUGGCGAAGGCGACUCACUGGACAGUUAUUGACGCUGAGGUGCGAAAGCGUGGGGAGCAAACAGGAUU
rnacentral:rRNA from 1 species